UUCUAUUAUUCUAUAUUUGCAGCUGCAGCAAGGCUUUUCGACGUCCUUGAUUGCAGAAAGAAUUUGUUGUCGAGUUUUUAAUGUCACAUGCAAAAGAUGUUCUUUUAUUACUUCAGUCAUGGAUGCCCCCUGCCUCAAGAACUAUAACAAUGAGGAGGAACUUCUGGUAGAGUACUGGAAAAGAGGCUACCAGUACUCUUGAGAUCUCAACAUUUUUUAGCAACUUUCAUGACGUGGAUCUAAGGCAGUGUGCGGCAGCUAAAGUACAGGUACAACAAGCUUGGGCUAUGAAGGCGUCUUGGCACCAGCUCCAAUGCAGAAGUGAGGGAGGCCAUCCGGGUACGAGUUAUCAAGUGUAUAGCACAACACUUCCCAUUUAAAUCCAAAUUUCAAUAGUCAUGUACUCACCUGUAACAUUUCCUGUACAUGUGUAUCUCGUAUAAAAGUAUUCAAUCAGUAAUCAAUGAUUUAUAGUUUAUCCAUGUGACCCUUCCCCCCUGAUCCCAUACUGUACUACAGAAAAGCUAUGUACACAGUACAUCACAUGAAGAUAGUUUCUUCAUGUGAAGUUGUCAUCAAACAAAUCAUGACAGUACCAGUUUGUGAUUGUAAGUGGUGUUUCUAAUGAAAGUCAUGAAAGCAUCUCAAAAAUUGUAUGUGUAGUAUCACUGUAAGUAGUUGCACAUUAGAUAGGGUAUUAAAUAAAGCACUUUCUGAAUAAUGUUGAUAGGUCCUUCAUGUCAAGUUGUUGUCAAACAGAUCAUGACAGUACCAGUAUGUGAUUCUAUGUGAUGUUAAUGUUAUGAAAAUCAGGAAAGCAUCCCAAAAAUAUAUGCAGUAUCACUGUGACUAGUUGGCAAUGCACGCAAGUCUAGCGUCUUACAACUAACAGUAUAGCAAUGUGUACAGUUGUGGAUAUGGUAUAUCAAACACAGAAUUAAAAAUACUGUUACUAUUACUUGUUUCUAAAAGCAUAACAAACUUACAUUGUACUGUUCUCAUGAAUACUGUGAUGAUGUAAUAUGAUGAUGUACAUGUACUUUCUCCAUGAACAAUGUUAACUGCCAUUAGUAUGUGUGGAAAAGCAUAUUUCUUAGUGUUGCAGUAGACUGCCAGAGUUCUUGUUGCAGGUAAAGCCGAAUAUUCUAUCAAUUUACAUUACAAGUUGUAGAGUUCUUGUUGCUGGUUAAGAGUUCUUGUUGCUGGUUAAGUCUUACAUUUGAUGACAUAAUAUUACAAGUUAAGUGUGUGAGAAGAUCAGUUCCUCUACAUCUGUUACAAUAAAUAAAUCACCAAAGGACCACCAAUUAAGUGGACACAUAAA